rnacentral:rRNA from 1 species
AGGACGAACGCUGGCGGCGUGCUUAACACAUGCAAGUCGAGCGGAAAGGCCCUUCGGGGUACUCGAGCGGCGAACGGGUGAGUAACACGUGAGUAACCUGCCCUUAGCUCUGGGAUAGCUCCGGGAAACCGGGAUUAAUACCAGAUACGACCACUUUAGACAUCUUUUGUGGUGGAAAGAAUUUCGGCUAGGGAUGGGCUCGCGGCCUAUCAGCUUGUUGGUGAGGUAACGGCUCACCAAGGCGACGACGGGUAGCCGGCCUGAGAGGGCGACCGGCCACACUGGGACUGAGACACGGCCCAGACUCCUACGGGAGGCAGCAGUGGGGAAUAUUGCGCAAUGGGCGAAAGCCUGACGCAGCGACGCCGCGUGGGGGAUGAAGGCCUUCGGGUUGUAAACCCCUUUCAGCAGGGACGAAGCGAAAGUGACGGUACCUGCAGAAGAAGCGCCGGCUAACUACGUGCCAGCAGCCGC